AUUGAACGCUGGCGGCAGGCCUAACACAUGCAAGUCGAACGAGUGGCGGCCGUGUGAGUAAUGUCUGGGACACUGCCUUAUGGAGGGGGCUAACUACUGGAAACGGUAGCUAACACCGCCUACCAUCGGAUGUGCCCAGCUGGUUCUAGCUAGUAGGUGGGGUAAAGGCUCACCUAGGAGACGAUCCCUAGCUGGUCUGAGAGGAUGACCAGCAACACUGGAACUGAGACACGGUCCAGACUCCUACGGGAGGCAGCAGUGGGGAAUAUUGCACAAUGGGCGCAAGCCUGAUGAAGCCAUGCCGCGUGGAUGAAGAAGGCCUUCGGGGUGUAAAGUACUUUCAGCGGGGAGGCGGUACCCGAAGAAAAAGCACCGGCUAACUCCGUGCCAGCAGCCGCGGUAAUUC
rnacentral:rRNA from 1 species